rnacentral:tRNA from 1 species
GAGGCCUUAGCUUAAUUAAAGUGUCUAAGUUGCAUUUAGGUGAUGUAUUGUAUUUACAGGUCUUCAGGA